rnacentral:rRNA from 1 species
UGGGGAAUUUUGCGCAAUGGGCGAAAGCCUGACGCAGCGACGCCGCGUGUGCGAUGAAGGCCCUUGGGUCGUAAAGCACUGUCAACUGGGACGAAAACAUCGCUGUGAAUAGCGGCGGUGGUUGACGGUACCAGUAAAGGAAGCACCGGCUAACUCAGUGCCUGCAGCCGCGGUAAUACAGAGGGUGCAAACGUUGUUCGGAAAUACUGGGCGUAAAGCGCGUGUAGGCGGUUCGUUAAGUCGACUGUGAAAGCCCAUGGCUCAACCAUGGAAGUGCAGUCGAUACUGGCAGACUGGAGUCCCGGAGAGGGUGGUGGAAUUCCCAGGGUAGAGGUGAAAUUCGUAGAUAUUGGGAGGAACACCGGUGGCGAAGGCGACCACCUGGACGGGUACUGACGCUGAGACGCGAAAGCGUGGGGAGCAAACAGGAUUAGAUACCCGCGUAGUCC